AGAGCUUUCUCUUCAGUCCUUCUCUCCUUAUUGUUUUGACACAGAAUCUCUCUGUGUUGCUCAGGCUGCCCCUGAACUCUGGGCCUAAAGUGAUUCUCCUACUGAAUCAGGACCACACACACAGGUUACAAUGUCAUUGCCAUAAUGAAUCCUUUAUCACUUAUGCACCUAAAACAGUUAUUGGUUGUUGAGUGUAGUUUUCCAGCAGAAGCAAGCAGCUCUCUUGAGUUCAAGGCAAAUCAAAGCUACCUAAAAUCAAACACCUCCCUCAAACAAAAAGAGAACUUUCCUCCUUCACUUCCCAUAAGAUGCAAAAACAGCAGGCCCAACUGCACCUGGGAGGAUGAGAUUCAAGGCUGACUUCAAGAGAAGAGAUUUUUGAGUGACAAUCCCACUCUUGCUCUGAGAUUACUAGAGGAGUGGUGGCUACAAAAGAGGAGACUACAGAUAUUCUCUGGGAUUUUUAUUUUUAUUCUCUGGGGGAAAAAGAAAAGCUCAAUGGCUAAGAAUGCUUACUGCUUGAGUAUGAGGACCUGAGUUGGAAUUCUCAGAAGUCAUGUUUAAAGCGAGCACUGGUGUGCCUGCAAGCAUGUCAUGUGGUGUUAAGAGACAAAACAGGACAGGUCUGCUGGCCAGCCAGGCCAGCUGGAAAAUAACCAGUAGGUUCUAGGUUCAGUGAGAGACCUUGUUUCAAGAAAAUCAGGUGGAGAUUGACAGAGCGAACAUCACAUGCCCUCUUCUGGCUUCUACAAGUAUGAGCACAGGUGGCUGUACCAGUACACACACACACACACACACACACACACACACACACACACACACACACACACACAGUUUAAUUGUCAAAAUUCUCUAUUCUCCCCCUUCAGAGAGGAGACACCACAUGCACUGCUGACUUUAGAAAUGAACAUCAGGUUUAGCAUUCAGCGCUCUUCUAGUGACCACUCACUAAUAAGUAAAUCACUGUCAUCCCCAUAAAGUAACCUUGAGACGAAGCCAUUAGGUUACUAACGAGGAUCUUUAUUUCUCAAUCGAACAUUAACAGCUAUUGUUUUCUUUUCGAAUUUGUACCUGAACAAGUACUAAAUCAAAAUGAAACAUAACCAACAAAAUGUCUGUAAAUGUGUUUUGCAUAAUAUAAAUUGAGGUUAGGACUAAAACGGUUU
rnacentral:sRNA from 1 species